GUUUCUUUGAAAUCGGAAUUUUUCGAAUUGAACAACUUUUCUCGUAAAUUUCGACCGAGGGGGAAUUAUGACAGAUGAAGAUUUCCCAUCGAUAUCGUUCACACAUUCAGGAAGUAAUUAAUGCGGCCAGCAAAGAUGUAUGCAGCUAAAAAGAAAAAAAACUUAAACAAGUCCGUCUUAAUUACGUGAAUAUUACGUAUGUUAAAAUAUUCAACGAAGUCUGAAUCACGAAGUGUGGAUCUUUCAGGCCGACGAUCGUUAGCGACAAGAGCAAGUAGUUUCCGCCGGCCUACAACCAUCGUUGCUGCUGGAGGCCGAUAGAAACCCCUAACCUUAUCGCUACGUUCCUUCUCUUCCCCUUUUUUCCUUUUCCUUCACGACUCCAUCUUCGUAAAAAGUGAAUCACAAUAGAAAACACGAUCUCGUGCUUUUAUUAUAUAUGUGUAUAAUUAAGCGAUUAAUUAAAAUUCUGGGGGGACGUAGGUUGAAUAAAUUGAAUAAAUAAUUGAUAUUAUUAUGCGUUAAUUGACGAAUUGUGUAUCAAUCGAUGAAUAAUCAAUAAGUAGAAAAUGUAUGUUUAUAUUUUUAUUAUGUAAAUAUAUACGUUAUAGAGUGAAAUAUUUAUUCUGAAAAUUGAUUAAUCAUUUUAUUAUUGUUUGUUGAUGGCAGUAGAAGAGUAACGGAAAAAAAAGUAGAAUUAUAACCUACAAUGAGUGUAUUAUAUUCGAAAAGUAGGUGUAAUACACCAAGCCAAUAAUACUGAAAUUCUUUCGUUCCGUGCAGUCACUCUGUUCUUUGUCCAGCAUCGAGUCUUUCCAAAUACUCGUGCCAAACGAACGAAACCGUACAGCAUAAAGACCAUUGUGUCGCCUGUUUUUUUCAACCAACUCACGAAAAAAACCAUGCGGUACAAAAGAGUCAAAGUAAUAUCUUUGACAUUGCUUGAUCACUUGUGCAAAUCCUUUGAACGUUUCUCUGAUGCGAAACAUUACUUCAGAUUGACUUACAAUACAUAUAUAACUUUAAAUUCUAAUUAUGUAAAUUUACCAAUUCAUAGAGUUAUUUGUCGUUCAAUUAUUAUUAUUAUUGUUAUUGUCUAUUCGCUUGUUCAAAAUUCAUCGUUACAGAUGAGUAGCUUUGCUACAAGAAUUAUUCAUACAUCGAAGACUUUAUGGUAGAAUCGUGCUAAAUUCUCACUUCGCUGAUUCUGAAUAACGUGAUUGUACGUGUUCUGUUUAACAAUAAAAUUCGGUUUGCACGAUUUGAAAAAAUAUUUUCGUAACGAAUGCCUUCUUCAUCUCUUAUCGAUUAAAUUUUAUCUAUUUUAUCAUAAAUAUUAUCAAUAGAAACUGCAUCCUACUCGAAAUUAUCCCAAUUGCAGCAUCGUUCUCGACGAGCACUUUCACUUUCUUCACUCGAAAUUAAACGCACCAAUACCAAUUUUCCUUAUUCACAAAUUCGUUGAAGAGAUUCAAUGCGAGCAACGAUAAUCAUUAAAUGGACUUAAAGAUAAAGAUGUACACGUACAAACAAAAUAUUAAAACUUCGUUAAAGAGACAUCUUUUUAGAAUCAUACGAAUGCAAUACGUCCCGAUUGCUUGAUAAUUCCGAAACAUUUCAACAGAGAUUUCUCAGUUUCUAGCCGUUUGAUCAAAAUCAAAGACCAAAAUCCGAGAAAUAUGGCGAAAAGAACUCUCAUUCUUCGGUUUCAUCGGUAUCGUUUUUGUUUUUUCGCCCCAAAAUGGUGAAACGAAAAGAAAGGGUUGCUUAAUUUGAGUAUUUCUCUCUUUCUCUUUCUUUUCUUCCUUUCUUCUCUUUCUUCUCCCCUCCCCCCACGAGCAACCUUUGCCCCCGUUCGUGUAUUCCACGGUUCGACGCUUCCGGCAGGAUACGUACGGAUUUUAUUCGAGGAAGUUCCUUGGCCGGCCGCCAAAUCGCACGUGUAACCUCGCCGUGAAAUCAUUCGAUCUCCAUGGAUCGUCCCCUCCCUCUUUUUCUCUCCGAGUUCCUCGAUGUAUUUGAACAGGGAGAACGAUCCAACAACUCGCGCAUCAUCGAUGCUCUUCUUUUUCCUUCUUUAUUUUUUUCUUGCCAAAAAAUUGUUGAUAAUUUUAUCAUUAUAUUUCCUUUGAAGAGAUAUAAAGCUAAUUGUGAGAAAGAUAUAUAUAUAUAUAUAGGUUUUUAUGGGUUUGAAAAGGAGGAGGAGAAGAAUAUAACGAUAUUAAAAAUGAUAAUCUUCUUCCUUUUUUUUGAAAAUAUGAUAAUUAUGAGGAAGAUACUUGGAAUUAGUUCUGGAAGGGAAGGGGGGAGAAAGGGGGAGAGAUAGUUGUGAAGAUAAGUGGUUCAGACAGUUGGGUUGAAUACAGAUAUCGCGUGAUAUGGGGCUUAGAAUUGACUUAGGUUGAAACACAGUUUGAUCUAGAACGGAAUCGGAACUGGGAUGGAACCGAGUUUGAAUUGGAACAGAAUUGAGCUAGGUCCAAUACCGAACUGGUAUUGAAUUGGUGCUGAAUUGAUAUUGGACUGAUACUGAUCUGUUUGGGGAAAUGUAUUGGGAUUUGAAGCUUUUUUUUUUCUUUUCCUUUUUUUCUCUUUCUCGCAGCAGAAACUAGUAGGAGAAGUUAAGAGAAAUACUUGAUAGAUGCUGUAAAGACGACGUUACUUAAUGGAAAGCAAUUUUACAGUAAUCUCCAAUAAUUUACUUUGUUUAUCAUUUUAUCGCGUUUUUCGUUUUAUUUUUAUAAAAAAAAAAAAAAAAGAUAAAAAUUUGCUGCGCGAAUCACUCUUUUCUUAAAACAAUAAAUUCGAUAAAAACGCGGAAACCGACAAUUAUCGGACGAACACGUUUUCGCGUUUUUUUUUCUUUUUUUUUUCUAAAACGGGUCAGAUAUUGAAUAUUGGAAAACUACAUACACAAGAUAACAUUCGAAAAAUUUGUUCAUUUUCCUGUUUAUUUUACCAUUUAUAUUUUGUGGGUGAUAUCUAUUUUCGACGUUAAAAAUAUUAUAAAAGGAGGAAAAAAAAAUUGUCGAUGACCUCGAUCGUUUAAUUGGCUUGGAAAUAAUUGUUCGAAAAAAUCGAUCCUUCGAAAUUUUCAAUAAUUUUUAGAGUUCUGAAUUAUAUAACACUAUUAUUAUAUAUUUUCCUUUUUAGCUUAAUACGUCCACCGAUAAUUUUUCAUCCUCUCCUACUCGUUACUUUAAUUAUUCUUGUUAAAUAAAAUUUUUCAAAAAUUGUAGAUUGUUUCUAUAAAUAAAAUGUAAGCGAUUUAUCU